rnacentral:rRNA from 1 species
UACGUAGGGGGCAAGCGUUGUCCGGAAUCAUUGGGCGUAAAGCGCGCGUAGGCGGCUCGAUCAGUCUGCUGUAAAAGUCAAAGGCUCAACCUUUGAAUGCCGGUGGAUACUGUCGGGCUAGAGUCCGGAAGAGGCGAGUGGAAUUCCUGGUGUAGCGGUGGAAUGCGCAGAUAUCAGGAGGAACACCAACGGCGAAGGCAGCUCGCUGGGACGGUACUGACGCUGCGGCGCGAAAGCGUGGGGAGCGAACAGG